UGUAUUGAAUUGAGUGAGUCCAUUUAGUUAGGUUUGGUUAUCCCUAUUACCUUACCUGUCAGUGAUAAGGCUUUUUUGGACUAAAUAGUGAGCAUUCAAUGUAUAACAAGAAAUUUAAUACGUAAUUCUAGAUCUAAAAUACAGAAAAAGUUGUAAUAAAAGAUGCUGAUAAUUUCUUGAAGGAAACAGAUUAUGAAGACGCUUCUCAAAACCUCAGGAGCCGCGUUGUUGUGUUUUAGUGUAUUUGUAGCCGCAAACCAUCGAAGUAUCUCAGCAACACACACCCAUUGGAGAAUCAUUUGACAAUGAGUAUUCCGACGUGGAUGCUGCACCAUCAGAUGUUGCUUCAGUCAGUAAAUUUAUCAAGGAA